rnacentral:tRNA from 1 species
GCGGGUGUAGCUCAAUGGUCGAGCAAUAGCCUUCCAAGCUGAAGAUGAGGGUUCGAUUCCCUUCACCCGCUCCA